rnacentral:rRNA from 1 species
UACGUAGGGCGCAAGCGUUAUCCGGAAUUAUUGGGCGUAAAGAGCUCGUAGGCGGCUUGUCGCGUCUGCCGUGAAAGUCCGGAGCUUAACCCCGGAUCUGCGGUGGGUACGGGCAGACUAGAGUGCUGUAGGGGAGACUGGAAUUCCUGGUGUAGCGGUGAAAUGCGCAGAUAUCAGGAGGAACACCGGUGGCGAAGGCAGGUCUCUGGGCUGUAACUGACGCUCAUGCACGAAAGCGUGGGGAGCGAACAGG